rnacentral:tRNA from 1 species
AAAUAAGAAACAAAAUAAUUGUAUUUAGUUUCGACCUAAAAUUUUGAUGAUAAAAUCAUCCUUAUUUA